rnacentral:piRNA from 1 species
UCGGCUUACACUUCCAUGCUGCUGUUCA